AUUAAAUCCUUCCUAAAAAAAGAAAACGUGUGUAUUUCUUACUAGCAUAUCCACAUGGAGAUUAUUCAUGACAAGGGUAUUAAUUUAUAGAAGCUAUUCUUCUGGCUUCUAGAAAUUAUAUUAGUGUCUAGGCAGAAAAAAAAAAAAAAAACAAAACCAAAAAAAACCCAACCAACCCCACUCAGAUACAUUCUCACCAUGGUGACCUCCAAGCGAACUGUCACAACAGAAGCUGCUGUUGCCACUACAAUUUCCAGAGCUCCUGCUGUUCGUGUUGUUGCCGAGGAGAAAAAGACACUGCCCUUCACUGCACUUAAAGCUCAGUAAGAUCAGAUUGCAGCUUAAAGAUAAUGUUCGCACUUUACUGUACAUCAGUAUCAAAGAGAAAAAAUGAGAUGAUCAAAAUAUGCCAACCAUAAUAGUAGUGUCAACAUUAAGUGUGCUGUGUACUUCCUUCGAGGUGCCGAGCGCUCUGACUCCCUCCUGUUUCAGCAAAGGGAAACCAGUGUCGUGAUCACAGCCUUUGGGUUCAGCUCUUCUGCUCGAGCCAGAGUGCCACUAAUCUUGUAGAGAAGUUCCUCACACUUUGGGCAGAGGCAGACAAAAACCUAACCGAGAAAUACACCCUGAUGUGCAGUUGUACUGGCUCCUUGGCUCCCAGAGGCAAGCUGUGAGUGACUGCCAGAACAAGGUCUGUGGCGCUGCUUGGAAAGGAGGAGACCAACAUGGAGCCGUCUGAAUUACUUGGUGAUGCUAAUCUACUCUCAGCUGCUCUGUUUCUUGGGGACUCAUCUCUUCAGCAUAGGAGACUUGCUGCAAGCAACCUGUUGUAUAUAUUUGGUAAUUAUGGCACUUUCAGGAAAUUGCCACAUCCUGCAGCCGAGCAUGAACUGCAGUAUAUGGCCCUCUCCUGUCACUAGAGAAAGGCGUAGCAUCUCAAAAAUGGGCGCCUCUACUACAGAGCAUCUGACAGGAGUUCAGCAGAGCGGAGUCCUUUGUGCAUGCCUGUUUGAUAGAAAUCAUGGAUGGUCUCAGACAAAACGUAGACUGUGACUGGCAGCGCAAUAGCAAGAGAAGGAACGUUAAUAGGCGGAACAUACGGGGACUGAGGUAGAAACAUGUAUUUCAACUUCUAUUUAAACCUUGUCAUACAGCUGUGUGGUUCUCCUUGUAUCAUGCCCCAUUACAUACAGAAUCUUAGUGACCGCUGAGGGUUGAAGUAACAAAAAGAAGAAGUUAUACUCUAUUUUCAGGCACAUUUAACUCAAACCACAAAACCAACAACUUCUGAAUUCUAGUGAUAGAAUUACAAGAAAGCCCUUUGUGAACAACGAUGCAGGCAGGAAGGUGUGACUAAAGACUUAAAGUCUGGGAUUUUUGUUUUCCAAAAGCGAAACAAAGGACUGUACACCCAAAGUACAAGGAAGUCAGUGAAGUAGAAACCACAGGGGAUGAAAUGUCCACUCAUCCAGCACUUUCAGAUUUAGAGGACAGGGCAAUUUAGUGAAUCCCAGAGAUGAGAAGACAGAAUCAUAGACGAACUCAUGCAGAUUAGGAAUCAUGCCUGACUGACUGCAGGAGCAAGAGAAGUAAAACACACAGCCCCAAAACACUGUCAAAGCUGACAUACUUUUGAGAAAUGGCAUAAAUUCCCAGAGAAAGAGGGAACGGUAUGUGGCUUGGGGGCAUCAACUGUUCUUUCAGAAUAUUGGAAAGGUGGAAAAAAGUCUGGAGACCUCGAUCAAUUUACUGAAGCAUUUGAUCGUGUUUCUUUUGGGGGAAGAUACAUGCAUCUCAUUUUGUGUCGCUUUAACAUUCAUUAGUCAUUUGUCAGAAGAGUUUAAAAAGCAAAUCAUGCAGUAGUCCAAGCAAAAUAUGUUUUUCUCUCCCUAAGUCUUUGGGUGGAGGGGAAAGAAUCCUGGACUGAGGAUGAGACUAUCAUAAAUCCUGAUUUAACAAAUAUAUGAGCCUGUAUCCUGGAGUACAAGAUCGAAGAGAAGCAUUUGUUUGGUUCCAAGAGAGAAUCUCACUGGCCCUUGUCUCUUCAGUCACUACAGCUCGCACUGUAACAACGAGAAUUACUUUUCAGGCUGCUAUAUCACAUCAGAUUUUGACCAGAACUUGGAGAAAGACAAAUAACUGGACUGAUCACGUUCCUAUUAAUGUCUGCCAUACAAUUCCUAUUUAUUUCAGAAAAAGCAAGAUCAGUCUGAAGAUAUUUGUAGGAGCGUUUAAAGAAUUGCUUUCACACCUCAUUUUAUACCAUUUAGUUCUAUUGGCUUCAGUGGGGUAAUAUAAGAUUUUCAGUCUUAAAAAUAAAACCAGAAUUAGGUCAGUUUGUCUUUUUAUUAAUUAUUCAUUGCCUAAGCCUAGGGACUUAUUGCAGUUGAGGCCCACGUGCACUGGUGCUAAAGCAGUAGCAAAAAGGCAGUGAUUACGUAUUAGGCCUUUAGGUCCCUGGCAUCAGUAAAUUAUCACUGCUUCUGUAUACCUGCAGUGUUCCAGACAGACCUUUGUAACUGGAAAAUACAGUUGCACUUAUCCACAUUAUUUUAAAAUUUUAUUUCAAAGGAUUCUGCGAAAUAUAAUCUGAACACACAUUUAAUAAGACAUAAAUACAAAUAAAGGCAACCAUUGAAGAAGUGCAUCUGUCCCUGUAGUUAAAGCCUACUAAAUUAAAUUUUAAAGAAUUCACUCAGACUGGAAAUCAUAUCACUGUGUGUGGGCAUAGAAGGCAGCUCAGUAAAUUCUGGCUCGGUGGGUGAGUCAGCAUGAGUCAUCAGCAGACAUACCAUCCUACGGUUAUAUGAAUCCGCAAGGUACAUUUAGUAACAUUUCACAGUAACAAAAUAAUGCCAUCCUCCUGCUUUUUGUCUCGAUGACAUUAAUGGCAGCCCCAACUUUCCUUAAAUAUUGUAGGUGUUCUGAGCUCAACAUGUGACAUUAAAAGCAGAAAAAAAAG